GCGGAAUCGGGUUACGAAAUGAUGCAUAUCUGAAAAGCGUGUCACAAUAUGAAAUGCUUGGAAAGCUCUACAGUAGACUAUUGCCCCUCAUGUUUUCCCUUCCAAGCCAGCUGGUAAGUCUCAUCUCUAAUUCUUGAGUCAACAGAGAAUGUGUGCUGCUUUUGCACAGUUCAGCACAGCUCUAUGCAGUACAAAAUGAUGCCUCCAAUUACAAGCUGCAGUGAGCCGCCCAUAACUGCACUAAUUUGUGCUAUACAUGC